rnacentral:rRNA from 1 species
GCAGUCGAGCGGAUGAGGGAGCUUGCUCCUGGAUUCAGCGGCGGACGGGUGAGUAAUGCCUAGGAAUCUGCCUGGUAGUGGGGGAUAACGUUCCGAAAGGAACGCUAAUACCGCAUACGUCCUACGGGAGAAAGCAGGGGACCUUCGGGCCUUGCGCUAUCAGAUGAGCCUAGGUCGGAUUAGCUAGUUGGUGAGGUAAUGGCUCACCAAGGCGACGAUCCGUAACUGGUCUGAGAGGAUGAUCAGUCACACUGGAACUGAGACACGGUCCAGACUCCUACGGGAGGCAGCAGUGGGGAAUAUUGGACAAUGGGCGAAAGCCUGAUCCAGCCAUGCCGCGUGUGUGAAGAAGGUCUUCGGAUUGUAAAGCACUUUAAGUUGGGAGGAAGGGCUGUAGGCUAAUAUCCUGCAGUUUUGACGUUACCAACAGAAUAAGCACCGGCUAACUUCGUGCCAGCAGCCGCGGUAAUACGAAGGGUGCAAGCGUUAAUCGGAAUUACUGGGCGUAAAGCGCGCGUAGGUGGUUCGUUAAGUUGGAUGUGAAAGCCCCGGGCUCAACCUGGGAACUGCAUCCAAAACUGGCGAGCUAGAGUACGGUAGAGGGUAGUGGAAUUUCCUGUGUAGCGGUGAAAUGCGUAGAUAUAGGAAGGAACACCAGUGGCGAAGGCGACUACCUGGACUGAUACUGACACUGAGGUGCGAAAGCGUGGGGAGCAAACGGGAUUA